rnacentral:rRNA from 1 species
GAUGAACGCUGGCGGCGUGCCUAAUACAUGCAAGUCGAGCGAACGGACGAGAAGCUUGCUUUUCUGAUGUUAGCGGCGGACGGGUGAGUAACACGUGGAUAACCUACCUAUAAGACUGGGAUAACUUCGGGAAACCGGAGCUAAUACCGGAUAAUAUUUUGAACCGCAUGGUUCAAAAGUGAAAGACGGUCUUGCUGUCACUUAUAGAUGGAUCCGCGCUGCAUUAGCUAGUUGGUAAGGUAACGGCUUACCAAGGCAACGAUGCAUAGCCGACCUGAGAGGGUGAUCGGCCACACGGGAACUGCGACACGGUCCAGACUCCUACGGGAGGCAGCAGUAGGGAAUCUUCCGCAAUGGGCGAAAGCCUGACGGAGCAACGCCGCGUGAGUGAUGAAGGUCUUCGGAUCGUAAAACUCUGUUAUUAGGGAAGAACAUAUGUGUAAGUAACUGUGCACAUCUUGACGGUACCUAAUCAGAAAGCCACGGCUAACUACGUG